CCUACGGGUGGCAGCAGUAGGGAAUAUUGCUCAAUGGUGGAAACACUGAAGCAGCAACGCCGCGUGGAGGAUGAAGGCUUUAGGAUUGUAAACUUCUUUUGUUAGAGAAGAUUAUGACGUUAUCUAACGAAUAAGCACCGGCUAACUUCGUGCAGGCAGGGGCGGUAAUACGGAGGGUGCAAGCGUUACUCGGAAUCACUGGGCGUAAAGAGUGCGUAGGCGGGGUAAUAAGUCAGAUGUGAAAUCCUGUAGCUUAACUACAGAACUGCAUUUGAAACUGUUACUCUGGAGUGUGGGAGAGGUAGGUGGAAUUCUUGGUGUAGGGGUAAAAUCCGUAGAGAUCAAGAAGAAUACUCAUUGCGAAGGCGACCUGCUGGAACAUUACUGACGCUGAUGCACGAAGGCGUGGGGAGCAAACAGGAUUAGAUACCCCUGUAGUC
rnacentral:rRNA from 1 species